CAAUAAGAACAGAUUAACUAUAAAGACAAAUGACAAGAAAAUGAAUGUUGAAAGCCAUAUGUCCCUGCUAGGAAGUGGAGCAGCCUGGAUGCAAAUCCAAACAUCUGAGUCUCUUAGCACUGCAUGAGGACCCCUUCCGGCCAGCAGCUCGGUUGGAUGGAAAUGAGAUUGGCUGAAGACAACUAAGGGCUGAGAAAUCUGCACGCUCCGCUGAGUAUUCUGUGUGCUGUUCUUGAGUGGAAGGCUUUGUAUUGCACCACACACCUCAAAAAUACCCACAGUACAUGAUGUUUUAAUGUCAU
rnacentral:lncRNA from 1 species